rnacentral:ncRNA from 1 species
UUGAACUCCGAGCCAUGGUGCCUAAGUCCACGCAGUCGGCGGGAUACGGUGCCUUGGCCGUGGCCUUGCGCCACCAGGGUAUCAGGUAGAAAUGCCGGUGCCUCCCGACUUGGAAAGGUGUUUAUGAG